AUCGGUUUCCUCUCUUUGAGCUGACCGAGAGCGUCCUAUACUCAUACUAGAUGUGUAACUGACAUCUCUCAAUCCACUUGGGUCACUUUCAUAUAAAGAAGAUGUAGACCCAGCAGCGAAUUUGCGACCUCGAUUCGCACCACCAGCAUUCUUAACAAAAGCCAACGAAAUCUUGUUUCGACGAACCUCAUCAUUAUCUCGCCUAUGAGGUGGUAGUCUUUGUUGGUUGGCAUUAUAUUCUUCAACAAAAAUUUGCGUCAACCUCUACAAUAAAUUAAAAAAUAAUUAUAAUUAAUCAAUUAUAAUGUUUAAAUAUAAUUAUAAUGUUUAAAAAAUAAUGUUAUAAGAAAUAAAUAAUAAAUAAUAUAUAUAAAUACUUACUGAAACAUCUUGCGCCCUUGUCCCCGUCCAUUCACCGGAUUCUGCAUACUUGUGUAUC
rnacentral:lncRNA from 1 species